CAGCAGCCGCGGUAAUACGGAGGGGGCUAGCGUUGUUCGGAAUUACUGGGCGUAAAGCGUACGUAGGCGGCUUUGUAAGUUAGAGGUGAAAGCCUGGUGCUCAACACCAGAACUGCCUUUAAGACUGCAUCGCUUGAACGUCGGAGAGGUGAGUGGAAUUCCGAGUGUAGAGGUGAAAUUCGUAGAUAUUCGGAAGAACACCAGUGGCGAAGGCGGCUCACUGGACGACUGUUGACGCUGAGGUACGAAAGCGUGGGGAGCAAACAGGAUUAGAUACCCCUGUAGUCCCUGUCUCUUAUAA
rnacentral:rRNA from 1 species